rnacentral:rRNA from 1 species
UACAGAGGGUGCAAGCGUUAAUCGGAAUUACUGGGCGUAAAGCGCACGUAGGUGGGUGCUUAAGUCGAAUGUGAAACCCCCGAGCUUAACUUGGGGACUGCAUGCGAUACUGAACACCUAGAGUAUAGUAGAGGGAAGUGGAAUUUCCGGAGUAGCGGUGAAAUGCGUAGAUAUCGGAAGGAACACCAGUGGCGAAGGCGGCUUCCUGGACCGACACUGACGCUGAGGCGCGAAAGCUAGGGGAGCAAACGGG